rnacentral:rRNA from 1 species
GACGAACGCUGGCGGCGUGCCUAAUACAUGCAAGUCGAGCGGAUCUUACGGUUCCUUCGGGAACCGUUUGGUUAGCGGCGGACGGGUGAGUAACACGUAGGCAACCUGCCUGUAAGACUGGGAUAACAUUCGGAAACGAAUGCUGAUACCAGAUACUCGAUUUCCUCGCAUGGGGAGAUCGGGAAAGACGGAGCAAUCUGUCACUUACAGAAGGGCCUGCGGCGCAUUAGCUAGUUGGUGGGGUAACGGCCUACCAAGGCGACGAUGCGUAGCUGACCUGAGAGGGUGAUCGGCCACACUGGGACUGAGACACGGCCCAGACUCCUACGGGAGGCAGCAGUAGGGAAUCUUCCGCAAUGGACGAAAGUCUGACGGAGCAACGCCGCGUGAGUGAUGAAGGCUUUCGGGUCGUAAAGCUCUGUUGCCAGGGAAGAAUACUUGGGAGAGUAACUGCUCUCAAGGUGACGGUACCUGAGAAGAAAGCCCCGGCUAACUACGUGCCAGCCGCCGCAGUAAUAC